GACGAACGCUGGCGGCGUGGAUUAGGCAUGCAAGUCGGACGGUAGAGCUUUAUCGUAAGAUAGAGUUUGAGAGUGGCGAACGGGUGAGUAACACGUAGGAAUCUACCCUUAAGACGGGGACAACCCAGGGAAACUUGGGCUAAUACCGGAUGAGGGUGCGAGAGAUUGCAUUUAAAAGGAUGGCGAAAGUUGUCGCUUAGGGAUGAGCCUGCGGUCUAUUAGCUAGUUGGUGAGGUAAAGGCUCACCAAGGCGACGAUCUGUAGCGGGUCUGAGAGGAUGAUCCGCCACACUGGAACUGAGACACGGUCCAGACUCCUACGGGAGGCAGCAGUGGGGAAUUUUGGACAAUGGGGGCAACCCUGAUCCAGCCAUGCCGCGUGAGUGAAGAAGGCCUUCGGGUUGUAAAGCUCUUUCGGCCGGGAAAAAAUCGCAUCAGUUAAUACCUGGUGUGGAUGAUGGUACCGGAAUAAGAAGCACCGGCUAACUACGUG
rnacentral:rRNA from 1 species